UACGGAGGGUGCGAGCGUUGUCCGGAAUCACUGGGCGUAAAGGGCGCGUAGGUGGCCCGUGGAAGUCUGCGGUGAAAGUCCGGCGCUCAACGCCGGAUCGGCCGUGGAUACUCUCGGGCUUAAGCUUACUAGAGGCAGAUGGAAUUCCGGGUGUAGCGGUGGAAUGCGUAGAGAUCCGGAAGAACACCGGUGGCGAAGGCGGUCUGCUGGGGUAAUGCUGACACUGAUGCGCGACAGCGUGGGGAGCAAACAGG
rnacentral:rRNA from 1 species